GUUAGGAAUAUUGGACAAUGGGCGCAAGCCUGAUCCAGCCAUGCCGCGUGAGUGAUGAAGGCCUUCGGGUUGUAAAGCUCUUUAGUCCACGAAUAUAAUGACUGUAGUGGAAGAAUAAGCCCCGGCUAACUUCGUGCCAGCAGCCGCGGUAAUACGAAGGGGGCGAGCGUUAUUCGGAAUCACUGGGCGUAAAGCGUGCGUAGGCUGUUUUGUAAGUCAGAAGUGAAAGCCCAGGGCUUAACCCUGGAAUUGCUUUUGAAACUACAAGACUCGAAUUCGGGAGAGGAUAGCGGAAUUGUCAGUGUAGCAGUGAAAUGCAUAGAGAUUGACAGGAACACCAGUGGCGCAAGCGGCUAUCUGGACCGAUAUUGACGCUGAGGCACGAAAGCGUGGGGAGCAAACAGGAUUAGAUACCCUGGUAGUCC
rnacentral:rRNA from 1 species